UUCCCUGAUCAUUCAUGCAAAGCAACUCCCUCUUUGAAGCAAAGCAAAGCAAAAUUAAAACGGAAAAACCCUAGCCUUAGGUUCCUUGCCGCCGCCGUCCCUAGGUUCUAGGCGCCUCCGCUUCUUCUUCUUUCCCCUGACCGGAACCUAGGUAGCUCGGCACGUCAUCCACUGGCUUCUCUGUUCGUGGCUUGGAGCAGCUUGCCGUUUGCCGUCGUCUCACCUCUCCCUGUCGUCUCGCCUCUCGCCGUUGUCUCGCCGGUUGCUGUCCGUGUCUCCGUCGAAGCUGAAGAAAUUAGAGGGCUGGAUAAGAAGACAUUGAUGCCUCAGAAGACACCACCACCAUCACCAUGUCCUUGUUACUUGAAGGUUUCUUUAGCACAAUAGUUAAAAUCACAAUCAUAAUUACAUAAUAUGUUUAAAUAAUUAUCCCAAAAAAAAAAAGAAAUUCACAAGAACAUCUUGGGGUUUUGAUGAAUUAGACUUCGAUGAUAAUUUCUUGCCCAGAAUUAAGUUUCUACUCCACUUUCUA